rnacentral:rRNA from 1 species
CCUACGGGAGGCAGCAGUGAGGAAUCUUGGUCAAUGGCCGGGAGGCUGAACCAGCCAAGUCGCGUGAGGGAAGACGGCCCUACGGGUUGUAAACCUCUUUUGUCAGGGAGCAAGGUGCAGGUCGGGACCUGCUGUGAGAGUACCUGAAGAAAAAGCAUCGGCUAACUCCGUGCCAGCAGCCGCGGUAAUACGGAGGAUGCGAGCGUUAUCCGGAUUUAUUGGGUUUAAAGGGUGCGCAGGCGGAGGCACAAGUCAGCGGUAAAAUAGCGGGGCUCAACCCCGCUCCGCCGUUGAAACUGUGGCCCUUGAGUGCGCGAAGGGUAGGCGGAAUGCGUGGUGGAGCGGUGAAAGGCAUAGAUAUCACGCAGAACUCCGAUCGCGAAGGCAGCCUACCGGCGCGCAACUGACGCUCAUGCACGAAAGCGUGGGUAUCGAACAGGAUUAGAUACCCCAGUAGUC